rnacentral:SRP_RNA from 1 species
GCUAGGUCGGGAGGUUAGUGGUCUCUUAUCAGCUCAAAUCCUCUAUAUGGAGCGACCGAAGUUUUUGGAGAGGCAUAUUAAAUACUUAUAAGCCUAUGUUUGUAGCGUAGAAGCUUCGUCCCUUGGGAUUAGCGGUGAUGGAAGUUUAACUGGAGGGUUAAACUAAACUAUCUUAAUCAAUUGAACGGGUCAGGUCUGGAAAGAAGCAGCUCUGUUUUGGACAACUGAUGUUCGAGGAUUCGCGGGGUGGAGCUAUGAAUAUAGAUAACUUAUAUUUAUGAGG